GUCUACGGCCAUACCACCCUGAACGCGCCCGAUCUCGUCUGAUCUCAGAAGCUAAGCAUGGUCGGGCCUGGUAAGUACUUGGAUGGGAAAAAAGAUUUGCUUGUCAUUAAGA
rnacentral:rRNA from 1 species